GUGCUCACUUCAGCAGCACAUGUACAAAAAUUGGAACAAUACAGAGGAGAUUAGCAUGACACCUGCUCAGUGAUGUCAUACAAAUUCAGUAAACAUUCCAUAUUUUU